AGCGAACGCUGGCGGCAGGCUUAACACAUGCAAGUCGAGCGCCCCGCAAGGGGAGCGGCAGACGGGUGAGUAACACGUGGGAACGUGCCCUUUGGUUCGGAACAACCCAGGGAAACUUGGGCUAAUACCGGAUACGUCCGUAAGGAGAAAGAUUUAUCGCCAAAGGAUCGGCCCGCGUCUGAUUAGCUAGUUGGUGGGGUAACGGCCCACCAAGGCUACGAUCAGUAGCUGGUCUGAGAGGAUGAUCAGCCACAUUGGGACUGAGACACGGCCCAAACUCCUACGGGAGGCAGCAGUGGGGAAUAUUGGACAAUGGGGGCAACCCUGAUCCAGCCAUGCCGCGUGAGUGAUGAAGGCCUUAGGGUUGUAAAGCUCUUUUAGCGGGGAAGAUAAUGACGGUACCCGCAGAAAAAGCCCCGGCUAACUUCGUGCCAGCCGCCGCAGUAAGAC
rnacentral:rRNA from 1 species